rnacentral:rRNA from 1 species
GACAGAGGGUGCGAACGUUGUUCGGAAUUACUGGGCGUAAAGCGCAUGUAGGCGGCAGCGCAAGCCGGGCGUGAAAUCCCACGGCUCAACCGUGGAAGUGCACUCGAAACUGCGCAGCUAGAGUCCUGGAGAGGAAGGUGGAAUGCUUGGUGUAGAGGUGAAAUUCGUAGAUAUCAAGCGGAACACCGGUGGCGAAGGCGGCCUUCUGGACAGUGACUGACGCUGAGAUGCGAAAGCGUGGGGAGCAAACAGG